rnacentral:lncRNA from 1 species
UUUGGAAGAAACCUGUGACAAUAUUAUGGUAUUUCUCUCUGAAAAUCAUAUAUAAAUAUAAUAUUUUUCUUUUACUAUUUUAUUGUGGACUAAAAUUCAACAUAUCUUCUUGUGGCGAAACAGGGUCAAUAGUAUAUAACACGUAAAGCAGAUACAGAUGGGGCCCCGAUGAAAUUUCGCCGACACUGAAUUGCAAUUAGAAUACUUUCGCCAUGGUUCAUG